rnacentral:rRNA from 1 species
AUUGAACGCUGGCGGCAGGCCUAACACAUGCAAGUCGAACGAGUGGCGGACGGGUGAGUAAUGUCUGGGAAAAUGCCUGAUGGAGGGGGAUAACUACUGGAAACGGUAGCUAAUACCGCAUACCAUCAGAUGUGCCCAGAUGGGAUUAGCUAGUAGGUUGGGUAAUGGCUAACCUAGGCGACGAUCCCUAGCUGGUCUGAGAGGAGGACCAGCCACACGGGAACUGGAACCCGGUCCAUACUCCUACGGGAGGCAGCGGUGGGGAAGUGUGCACAAUGGGCGCCAGCCUGAUGCAGCCAUGCCGCGUGUGGGAAGAAGGCCUUCGGGUUGUAAAUCACUUUCAGCGAGGAGGCGUUACUCGCAGAAGAAGCAACGGCUAACUCCGUGCCAGCAGCCGCGGUAAUUC